rnacentral:rRNA from 1 species
UGGGGAAUUUUGGACAAUGGGCGAAAGCCUGAUCCAGCAAUGCCGCGUGUGUGAAGAAGGCCUUCGGGUUGUAAAGCACUUUUGUCCGGAAAGAAAUCCUUGGCUCUAAUACAGUCGGGGGAUGACGGUACCGGAAGAAUAAGCACCGGCUAACUACGUGCCAGCAGCCGCGGUAAUACGUAGGGUGCAAGCGUUAAUCGGAAUUACUGGGCGUAAAGCUGCGCAGGCGGUUUGCUAAGACCGAUGUGAAAUCCCCGGGGCUCAACCUGGGAACUGCAUUGGUGACUGGCAGGCUAGAGUAUGGCAGAGGGGGGUAGAAUUCCACGUGUAGCAGUGAAAUGCGUAGAGAUGUGGAGGAAUACCGAUGGCGAAGGCAGCCCCCUGGGCCAAUACUGACGCUCAUGCACGAAAGCGUGGGGAGCAAAACAGGAUUAGAUACCCUGGUAGUCCACGCCCUAAAACGAUGUCAACUAGUUGUUGGGGAUUCAUUUCCUUAGU